GGGGGUUUAGCUCAGUUGGCAGAGCGUUCGCUUAGCAUGGCAACUCUUGCCUAUGGUCUGCGAAAGGUCACGUGUUCGACUCAUGUAGUCUCCA
rnacentral:tRNA from 2 species